AAGCGACUUGUACUGUGAAACUGCGAAUGGCUCAUUAAAUCAGUUAUGGUUUAUUUGAUGGUACCUUACUACUUGGAUAACCGUAGUAAUUCUAGAGCUAAUACAUGCAGGAAUUCCCGACUUCGGAAGGGAUGUAUUUAUUAGAUAAGUAACCAACUCCCUCUGGGAUUGUGUGCUGAGUCAUAAUAACUGCUCGAAUCGCAUGGCUUUACGCCGGCGGUGGUUCAUUCAAAUUUCUGCCCUAUCAGCUUUCGAUGGUAGGAUAGAGGCCUACCAUGGCGUUUACGGGUAACGGAGAAUUAGGGUUCGAUUCCGGAGAGGGAGCCUGAGAAAUGGCUACCACAUCCAAGGAAGGCAGCAGGCGCGUAAAUUGCCCGAAUCCUGACACAGGGAGGUAGUGACAAGAAAUAACAAUACAGGGCUACUUUUAGUCUUGUAAUUGGAAUGAGUACAAUUUACAUCUCUUCACGAGGAUCAAUUGGAGGGCAAGUCUGGUGCCAGCAGCCGCGGUAAUUCCAGCUCCAAUAGCGUAUAUUAAAGUUGUUGCAGUUAAAAAGCUCGUAGUCGGAUUUCGGGGCGGGGCGACCGGUCUGCCGAUGGGUAUGCACUGGUCGGCGCGUCCUUCCUUCCGGAGACCGUGCCUACUCUUAACUGAGCGGGGGCGGGAGACGGAUCGUUUACUUUGAAAAAAUCAGAGUGUUUCAAGCAGGCGUCUCGCCUUUGCAUGGAUUAGCAUGGGAUAAUGAAAUAGGACUUU
rnacentral:rRNA from 1 species